UGGGUUCCUCUCUCCCUCCCGCCGAGCUUGCGAGGCGGGAUUCGGCGCUUUUGAGAAAAAUAAGAGUAUAUUUUCUAUUGCGCCGGUGGGAAAUUUGGUGAAGUCGCGGGAGUGUUGUUCUCUUUGAGAAACACUCACCGGACGCUGAGUGCGGAGGCACCGGACGCUGGCCUCAGCGUCCGGUGUGCUUGACCCUGCUAGGGUUGAGCACCGGACGCACUCUGGUAGCGUCCGGUGGUUAGCGUCCGGUGUGAGGGGUUUUUGCAACCCUCUCUGCGCACGAGUCCGGUGAGCACCGGACCGUCCGGUGCCCAGCGUCCGGUGAGG
rnacentral:lncRNA from 1 species